AGAGUUUGAUCCUGGCUCAGGAUUAACGCUGGCGGCGUGCCUAACACAUGCAAGUCAAACGAGGGGGCAACCCCUAGUGGCAGACGGGUGAGUAACGCGUGGUCAACCUACCCACGAGUGGGGGAUAACUAGCCGAAAGGUUAGCUAAUACCGCAUGACACGUUUCGGGGCAUCCCGAGACGUUGAAAGGAGCAAUCCGC
rnacentral:rRNA from 1 species